AACGAACGCUGGCGGCAUGCCUAACACAUGCAAGUCGAACGAAGUCUUCGGACUUAGUGGCGCACGGGUGCGUAACGCGUGGGAAUCUGCCCUUGGGUGCGGAAUAACUUCUCGAAAGGGAUGCUAAUACCGCAUAAUGUCGUAAGACCAAAGAUUUAUCGCCCAAGGAUGAGCCCGCGUAAGAUUAGCUAGUUGGUGGGGUAAAAGCCUACCAAGGCGACGAUCUUUAGCUGGUCUGAGAGGAUGAUCAGCCACACUGGGACUGAGACACGGCCCAGACUCCUACGGGAGGCAACAGUGGGGAAUAUUGGACAAUGGGCGAAAGCCUGAUCCAGCAAUGCCGCGUGAGUGAUGAAGGCCCUAGGGUUGUAAAGCUCUUUACCAGGGAUGAUAAUGACAGUACCUGGAGAAUAAGCUCCGGCUAACUCCGUGCCAGCAGCCGC
rnacentral:rRNA from 1 species